rnacentral:rRNA from 1 species
UACGAAGGGGGGCUAGCGUUGUUCGGAUUUACUGGGCGUAAAGCGCACGUAGGCGGAUCGUUAAGUCGGGGGUGAAAUCCUGGAGCUCAACUCCAGAACUGCCUUCGAUACUGGCGAUCUUGAGUCCGGAAGAGGUGAGUGGAACUCCUAGUGUAGAGGUGGAAUUCGUAGAUAUUAGGAAGAACACCAGUGGCGAAGGCGGCUCACUGGUCCGGUACUGACGCUGAGGUGCGAAAGCGUGGGGGAGCAAACAGG